rnacentral:tRNA from 2 species
AAAUCCGUCGACUUUUGAAAUCGUGAG